AACGUAGGGGGCGAGCGUUGCCCGGAUUCACUGGGCGUAAAGCGGGUGUAGGCGGUCCGUUAAGUCGGAUGUGAAAUCUCCGAGCUCAACUCGGAAACUGCAUCCGAUACUGUCGGACUUGAGGACGGUAGAGGUCGGUGGAAUGACCAGUGUACCGGUGAAAUGGACAGAUAUUGGUCGGAACACCAGUGGCGAAGGCGGCCGACUGGGCCGUUCCUGACGCUGAGACCCGAAAGCCAGGGUAGCGAAC
rnacentral:rRNA from 1 species